rnacentral:rRNA from 1 species
CUACGGGUGGCACCAGUGGGGAAUAUUGCGCAAUGGGGGAAACCCUGACGCAGCAACGCCGUGUGAGGGAUGAAGGCUUUCGGGUCGUAAACCUCUGUCAGGCAGGACGAAACAUCUAAACAUGAAUAAUGUUUAGAUCUGACGGUACUGCCAGAGGAAGUCCCGGCUAACUCCGUGCCAGCAGCCGCGGUAAUACGGAGGGGACAAACGUUGUUCGGAAUUAUUGGGCGUAAAGAGCGCGUAGGUGGUCAGAAAAGUCAGACGUGAAAUCCCUCUGCUCAACAGAGGAAGGGCGUUUGAAACUCUCUGGGUUGAGUGUGGGAGAGGAGAGUGGAAUUCCCAGUGUAGCGGUGAAAUGCGUAGAUAUUGGGAAGAGCACCAGUGGCGUAGGCGGCUCUCUGGCCCAUUACUGACACUGAGGCGCGAAAGCUAGGGGAGCAAACAGGAUUAGAUACCCCUGUAGUC